rnacentral:rRNA from 1 species
GGUAUGGGAUGAGCUUGCGUCCGAUUAGCUAGUUGGCGGGGCAACGGCCCACCAAGGUGACGAUCGGUAGCCGGCCUGAGAGGGUGAUCGGCCACAUUGGGACUGAGAUACGGCCCAGACUCCUACGGGAGGCAGCAGUAGGGAAUAUUGCACAAUGGGGGAAACCCUGAUGCAGCAACGCCACGUGUGGGAAGAAGCAUUUCGGUGUGUAAACCACUGUCAUGAGGGAAUAAGGCCCGCCUUCGGACGGGAUUGAAUGUACCUUGAGAGGAAGCACCGGCAAACUUCGUGCCAGCAGCCGCGGUAAUACGAGGGGUGCAAGCGUUGUUCGGAAUUACUGGGCGUAAAGGGAGCGUAGGCGGAGAUUCAAGCGGAUUGUACAAUCCCGGGGCCCAACCCCGGCUCUGCAGUCCGAACUGGAUCUCUUGGAUAGUUCAGGGGCAGGC